GUCUAUGGCGGUCGUGCGUGGGAGGCCUUCGGGCCUGCCGGUUCCCUUGGAUGCCGGUUCGCCAACCUGCGUACGGCCGCCCCCAGC
rnacentral:antisense_RNA from 1 species